rnacentral:rRNA from 1 species
AGGAUGAGAAGACCUUAUAGAGCUUAAUAUUUAUAAAUUUUAUAUUAUUUUAGAUUAUCUUUUCUAUGUAAUUUUUUACUAUUUGGUUGGGGUGACAUGAAGAAUAAUUAAACUCUUCAUUAUUAAAUCAUUGAUUUAUGUUCAUUUGAUCCAUAAUUUGUGAUUAUAAGAUUAAGUUACCUUAGGGAUAACAGCGUAAUCAUUUUUGAGAGUUCAUAUCGACAAAAUGGAUUGCGACCUCGAUGUUGGAUUAAGAUUAAUUUUAGGUGUAGUAGCUUAAUAAUUAGG